AUUGAACGCUGGCGGCAUGCCUUACACAUGCAAGUCGAACGGCAGCGCGGACUUCGGUCUGGCGGCGAGUGGCGAACGGGUGAGUAAUACAUCGGAACGUACCCUGUUGUGGGGGAUAACUAGUCGAAAGAUUAGCUAAUACCGCAUACGACCUGAGGGUGAAAGUGGGGGACCGCAAGGCCUCACGCAGCAGGAACGGCCGAUGUCGGAUUAGCUAGUUGGUGGGGUAAAGGCCCACCAAGGCGACGAUCAGUAGCUGGUCUGAGAGGACGAUCAGCCACACUGGGACUGAGACACGGCCCAGACUCCUACGGGAGGCAGCAGUGGGGAAUUUUGGACAAUGGGGGCAACCCUGAUCCAGCAAUGCCGCGUGUGUGAAGAAGGCCUUCGGGUUGUAAAGCACUUUUGUCCGGAAAGAAAUCGCGCUGGUUAAUACCUGGCGUGGAUGACGGUACCGGAAGAAUAAGCACCGGCUAACUACGUGCCAGCAGCCGCCGUAA
rnacentral:rRNA from 1 species